UCCCUCGCGGGUGCACCGCCGACCGA
rnacentral:snRNA from 1 species